rnacentral:misc_RNA from 1 species
ACCUCAGUGACCACGGUUCCGUUGACCGAGUCUUCAUACAGUUCCUGUAGAUUCUCCAGACUCUUUGUCAGGGUGUUGAGCACUGGGCUAAGCUUGUCUCCAAGGAACUCUCGCACGUUGACAUUAGAGAGGGAGUCGGUAAUCUUAGUGACCAGCUUCUCUCCCUCCACGAUCGGAUAGCUAAUGGCCUUGACCACCUCGUCAAUUUUUGACUGUGAAGCGGAACCACUGAAAGAGUAAAAACAAAAAGAAUACUAGACAGUCUAAAGGGAGCUGGAUGUUUGUGGCCAUUUUUAGACCAAAAUAAUCUCCUUGAGAAAAAGAGUACUUUAUAUGAAGAUCAGGAAAAUAUUCGAAUUUUCAGGCUAUGCUAUUUGGAUUUUUUCUCUUUCAAAUAACAGAUCAGUAAAGGAAAAUGAGGAUGUUGAUAGCAGUGGUGCUUGCUGUUGCGUUGACUAUCACAAAUGGAAAAAUUCUUGGACCCACAGAAACAGGCAAAAUUAACACAUUAGCCACGCGGCAUAUGUUUGGAGCGUUAUCGAAUGGCAUUGAUAAUCUUGCAUGGCGUAUAGAAAGAAACAACGCAUGGUGUAAUAACGAGAUAAACCGGAUCCGGAAAUAUGUCUGCUCCAAAUGUGCUUCAAGCCCUGUCGUUCCUUCGAUGGCGGAUAUACAACAAAAUCUGAACAGACCAAUACCUGUUGUCCUGCAACUCUUUUUCGAUGUUUUGGACGGUUUGACGCCAUCUUGGAUGGUUGAGCAAAUAUAUGAUGGAAGAGGAUUUUCGAAGAACUGCAAAUUAUCUGAAAGCAGUCAUUUCACCAGAACUAGGAACACCACAAGAAGAAUCAAACCGCAUUAGCAGAGAAAUCGACGAGAAACUUGGAAAAGUUGCAAGCAAUUUUCAGAACUCUGGAUUUGUAGGCAGACGUAAACGACAAUCUACCAUAACCAUGAUCAGGUCAUGCUCCGACUGCGCUGGUCUAGAUGGUAUCAACAUCGAGGGUUACAUAGAUAUAGUUUGUGGUCCAACGACGUUAAUGAACAUUCAAAGCAUUUUGGACUACGCUGAUAAGUACCGAUCAAUAUUCAACACAACUUUUGGAAAUGGGGACCCAAUCAUUCAAGAGGUGGACUUCGAUGAGAGCACGGCGAUGUACGAGUUUUCUCCCUUCAGAUUUGAGGCUAAGAUGAACAGUUACAAAUAUAGAAUAGAAGAGACCAUUUAUACAAAAACCUCAACACCUAAUUCUAUUAAUUCUAUAGCGUUCCACAACUUGAAUGAAACUGCUAUAUUUAUGGCUGAGGAUAUCCUUAUGAAGCACGUUUAUAAUACAGUCCAAGGCUUCGGUGUAGCCUAAUCAAUCUAAUUAAUCAUUAUUUGGAUAUUUUAAAACGAUAAUAAACACGUCAUACGUACC